GCGGUGGCUGCCACCGCCACAUCGUCGGAGAUUCGUUUUAAGUCGAAGAAGGCGGGGACUCAUGUUUUCUCAGCUGGGUUUUUCACUUUUAAGCCCGAAUUGUGUAACCAGAAAGAUACUAUCGGAAAAGGUUUUCCACCGGCGCUUCCUGAUAUUCCUGCGCCGUUCUUGCCGCCGAUCGGUGGAGGUAUUUUACCUCCUCUUCCGGUGCCGGAUGUACCCAUGCCACCUCUAAUUCCCCCGCUACCACAGCUCCCUGGUAUUCCACUUCCACCUGUUACCCGCCAAAAAUCAUCGGAAUCCGAUAGAUUGGCCGAUCAAAAAAGUUUUGGUUUCCCGUUUCCACCGCCACUGUUCCCACCGCUGCCGUUUGUGCCAUCGCCGCCGUCAUUGAUUCCUCCCGUCAUUCCAACACCACCACCGUCACUGUUCCCUCCCCUCGUUCCAUCAACACCACCAUCAUUGUUUCCUCCCCUCGUUCCAUCACCACCAUCAUCGAUGUUUCCACCAUUGCCCUUUCCACCUGUACCAGGUUUGAUUCCAUCACCGCCGCCGCCACCACCGCCGGCGUUCCCAAUUCCUCUGCCUCCACUACCUCCGCUACCUCCGCUACCUCCAGUACCUCCGGUACCAGGAGUCCCACCGGCGAAAACCUCCCCUUGAUUAAACUCGUAUAUAUUUAAUAUUAUUACUGCAUAACCUUUUGAAGUAACCUUUCCAUACAUACGCGCGUAUUACAAUUAUGGGUAUUGUAAUUGUAGCAUGAAUAAAUCGUACAUGGUAAAAUGGUUGGGAUUCCUAUAAAUAGUUUAAAAUUUUUGAGAUCCAAUUAUGCGUUCUGAGUAUUGUUUAAUAGAUAGCAUUCUAUGAGUUUCUAAUAGAAGUUUUAUCCUUUUUAUGGAAAUGCUGGAUUAUUUGAUAUGUAAAUAAUAUUUCCUUUGUGUUCGUACUUAUAAAUAAGGUCGUUUUAUUUUAUAGUUGUUGACUGAUUUAAAAUUUCUACUGAAUCCACGUCUAAUUGAAAUCAUAUUGUUUAUGAUAAAAAAUAACCAUAUUAUCAUUAUAUUGUCUCUCUUGUGCUAAGAGUCAAUUCUAAAGUUUGGCAUAACAAAAAAUUUAUAUGAGAAGUGUGAUUGGAAAUCUAUUACAUCGAACUUUUAAUACUUUUAUUCUUUAUAAACACAGAAAAAUAACAAUAUACAAAACUGAACCCUUUUUUUUCAUUCUAUUACAACAUCGAAACUUUUUUACUUUCUUUACAACAUUUCAUGUCAUCUUUAGCCCAUAUGCACCUUCAUCAAAAGUAUAGUAUUUUGGCAUAGCAUGGUAAGGAACAUCUUCAGCUGAAAACAAAGCACAAGGAAUCAUGUGACUACUUGAUAGAUUUUAGCAUAUGAUCACGUGAUUCUUAUGCAAAUGCUUGUAAGAAUCUACUGUUACCAACAAAAAAUUUCAACAUAUAUGAAUUAUUGAUGGAUUUCUAAGAUGAUAUAAUGUAAAAAAAUCAAAUAAAGUAAUAAUCUCAUGAUUUAACAAUUGCACCAUAGGCUUCCAUUUUCCCCUGCACAAAAUAUGCCAAACAAAUGGACCAUAUUUGACAUUUUUUGGUCAGAGAACGUUAAACCAGGCUUCAUGGUUUGUGCCUCACAAGUCGCAAUAUAUCACUAUACCUAAUGUAACUAUUAGUGAU
rnacentral:lncRNA from 1 species